rnacentral:piRNA from 1 species
CAGCCUACUCUUCUUUAUAAAGACACGUC